CCAACGGCUCUUUUCAGAGCCACCCACCUUAACAAAGAGCUGAUAU
rfam:Phaethon lepturus contig35162, whole genome shotgun sequence.